CAAAACUUCUGGAAUGGCAUAGGGGAUGAAUGGGGGAGAUACUAGACUUUUCGGCUCAAUUUCAAUGUGUUGAUAGCAGGGCAGACAACAGGGGAAGGAA